AUGUUCUCAUGCUGCUACUGCUUGGAGUGCCCUAUGUGUGUUGAAGCCAACAUGUGUGGCUGCAUAUGGGAUGAACUUGCAACUGCAGUGUCCAGAUGGCUAUCAUGGAAUGAUGCAAUGAAAGGAAGAAAUAAUCAUUUAGAGUAUCCUGUUCAAGAUCAGAAUUCAGUGGCGUGGUGAACACUGGUUACACAGACUUGCCAAGUAGAAUGGCUACUCAGGCCAGUAGCAUUUAUUCCAAUAACAUCUUGAAAUUAUUAAAGCUAUUUCUCCUGAUAAAGAAUAUUUUCAGUUUGAACAAAAGGAUGAUUUCGAUUAUGGGGCUAUUUAUCAUGUCAUUAGAAGAAUUUUGGUAAUGAAGGUGAGUUUCAACACCACUUAAAAUUUUUUGAUUAUAAAAUUAGAUGUGUUGUAUGAAAGCAGAGAUUUUGCUAGUGAGUUUAGCCAUUCCAUGAAAAAACAUUACUUGUCCAUAUGAUAACAUGAACUGAGUUUCUUGCAUGUUUCGAACACUGAAAUAGGGCAAAAAUAUAAAAAUCAAUGUUGCACUUUGAACUUGUGUUUUUUAAAGAAUACAUUACUGAGAGUCGGCCCAUCUGCUGAGCUACUAAGCGGUGCUUUAAGAAACUUAACUUCAAGUGCCAGAUAGUUUAUGGACUCAACAAUGUGUUGAACAAAGGUGCUAUGGCAAGUAGAAAUAGGUGAGCUGCAUGCGAUGCUCAAAAGGAUUUGAAGUAGUGUAAGUACCAGAAAGGCCAAAUGGUUUGACACUUUUAUCUUUCUGCCAAGGUCAGGAAAGGUAGAGCAUCGUUGCUUAUAAGGGUAUAGUGUUCUUCUAUUGAAGCAAGCAGGUGUUUGGCCUCAGAAUAUGAAAUGGAUUUCAACCCCAAUCUGACAUCGUUAAGCUAGGUUCUGCGUAGUCUCUGUAGUAGCAGUAGCCCUUAUACCUUCCUACAUCCUUUGAUCCCUUAUUCUGGGGAAUAGAAAAGGAAAUAGAUAUGCAGUUAAUAUGGGAGUCAGCCUUGAAAUAUAUGAAAAAUUAGGUUUGCUCUUAUGAUGGCUGUGACUUUCCAAAUGCAAGAUGUUUCUUUAGACAGACAGACCUUCUCAGUUAUGUUUAUUCUGGAUGUAAUAGAAAGCAAGCUUUAAUUUCUGUUGUCAUGGCGAGUUAAGAUUGACAGGAAUCUGUAUCUGCCUGCAGGUAGCAUUAAACCAAAGUACGUUCAUGCUAAACAAAUGUUGGCAGGCUGGAAUUACUGUUUGGCUAAGGAAGUGUUUGUAAGGAGAAGCAUAUUCAUGUCAGCUUUUAAGGAAUGUAGCACAGGACUUCAUUUUUCUUGUUUAAUCUUUGGGAGGGCAGAACAAGGCAUGAUGGGGUUUGUUCUUUUUCUCUGAAGCAUCAAGUAUACUAUGUCUGACACAUACCAAGCCAAAUUUGGUGGAGUAAGAACAUGAUGUUUUUUACAACUGACUGACUUCAAUGAUCAGUGCUAUUUUACAGGAAAAGGUUAUUUUUAUUGGUAUAAGGUAAGGGCCAAAUCUGGUUCUAUUUACUCAUGUGAGUAAUCCUACUAAUUUCAGAAGGAUAAAUGAGUAGCCAUGAUAACUUUGUCUGAACGGUCAGUCAGUCAUGAUAUAAAGAAAAGGAAGAUGCUGUAGAAAUCCAUCACAAUGAUUGUGUUGUUCUGUAGCAAGAAGAUAGGGUCUGAUUUCUAGAGCCUUUCCCCAAAACAACAUCCCGUUCUGUACUAAUGUUAAAAAAUAAAUAAAUAAAAUAGCCACA
rnacentral:lncRNA from 1 species